rnacentral:rRNA from 1 species
CCUACGGGGGGCAGCAGUGAGGAAUAUUGGUCAAUGGACGAGAGUCUGAACCAGCCAAGUAGCGUGAAGGAUGACUGCCCUAUGGGUUGUAAACUUCUUUUAUAGGGGAAUAAAAUGUGCCACGUGUGGGAUUCUGUAUGUACCAGAUGAAUAAGGAUCGGCUAACUCCGUGCCAGCAGCCGCGGUAAUACGGAGGAUCCGAGCGUUAUCCGGAUUUAUUGGGUUUAAAGGGAGCGUAGGUGGAUGGUCAAGUCAGUUGUGAAAGUUGGCGGCUCAACCUUAAAAGUUCAGUUGAAACUGGCAGUAUUGAGUACAGUAGAGGUAGGCGGAAUUCGUGGUGUAGCGGUGAAAUGCUUAGAUAUCACGCAGAACUCCGAUUGCGAAGGCAGCUCACUGGACUGCAACUGACACUGAGGCUCGAAAGUGUGGGUAUCAAACAGGAUUAGAUACCCUUGUAGUC